CGAAUACACGAGCACAGUACUUCCGGAUGAAAGUACUUGAGGACUGCCCAUGUGAACCUAGCUAGCAGUGAUAGUCGAAGCCGUUUUGAGUUACCACCGAGAAAAUGGCAGAGAAUGACGUUGACAACGAGCUCUUGGACUAUGAAGAGGAUGAGGAGCCUCAGGUUGCCCCGGAGACCACCACACCUGCAGGCAAGAAGGAGGUAAAGGGCUCUUAUGUCUCCAUCCACAGCUCUGGUUUCCGAGACUUCCUGCUCAAACCAGAGCUGCUCCGCGCCAUUGUCGACUGUGGCUUUGAACAUCCCUCUGAAGUCCAACACGAGUGCAUCCCACAGGCCAUCCUGGGCAUGGACAUCCUGUGCCAGGCCAAGUCUGGUAUGGGCAAGACUGCUGUGUUUGUACUGGCCACCCUGCAGCAGAUUGAACCUGUGGACGGGCAGGUGUCUGUGCUGGUGAUGUGCCACACACGAGAGCUGGCCUUCCAGAUCAGCAAAGAGUAUGAACGCUUCUCCAAGUACAUGCCCACCGUCAAGGCAGCUGUGUUCUUCGGGGGCCUGUCCAUCAAGAAGGACGAGGACGUGCUGAAGAAGAACUGCCCCCACAUCGUGGUGGGUACGCCCGGCCGCAUCCUGGCCCUCAUCCGCAACAAGACCCUGAACCUGAAGAACGUGAAGCACUUUGUCCUGGAUGAGUGUGACAAGAUGCUGGAGCAGCUGGACAUGAGGCGUGAUGUUCAGGACAUCUUCAGGCUCACACCCCACGAGAAGCAGUGCAUGAUGUUCAGUGCCACCCUAAGCAAAGAGAUUCGCCCUGUCUGCCGCAAGUUCAUGCAGGAUCCCAUGGAGGUGUUUGUUGACGAUGAGACCAAGCUGACGCUGCACGGUCUGCAGCAGUACUACUGUAAGCUGAAGGAUAGCGAGAAGAACCGAAAGCUCUUCGACCUGCUCGAUGUGCUUGAGUUCAACCAGGUGGUGAUCUUUGUGAAGUCUGUGCAGCGCUGUGUGGCUCUGUCUCAGCUGCUGGUGGAGCAGAACUUCCCUGCAAUUGCCAUCCAUAGGGGCAUGGCCCAGGAGGAAAGGUGGGUUCUGAUGGAGAGGGAAAAACUGGGAUUGGGUUUUGGCUCUCAUUGGGAAAUUCUCAUUUGGACAAGACUGUCCUCGCCGACUCCGCCCUCUCUUAUCCGUAAACCGAUAAGUGGUUGAGGAGUGUCAAUUCGUUAGUAGGUAAACGGUGUCCUCGCCUCCUCCUUCCGAGGAAGCACAACUGUCCUUCCCUGAAGAGUUUUGACAUCUACUCCUCUCCUUUUGAAUCAGCUGCUUACUCUGAUGAGAAGCAUGCACAUAUUUAAAACGAUAAGUAGCACAAAAUGUCUAGCUAAAUGUAUUUUUACUACUUUGCACAUUUUAAUUUGUUUCCACCCCUGUAAAUGUCAUUUUCAUGAGCACAUUUUCUCCUCUCAGUUACUUGACUUUUUUUUUUCAACGGAGGUGGAGAGGAGUUGAGCAAUCAAAUUGAGGAUCUCAUUUACAUGCACAUUUUGUAUAAUGGUCAUGUAGCAGAAGCUGUUAUCCAGAGGGCCUGAACAAUAACCUUCUCUCAGAUUACAUGUUUGUGGGUCACAGUUUCAGUGUACCCACAGGAGUGAAGCAGGAAGUAUAAUGCUUGUUCUACUUAUUUUAAAUCUGUGGAUUCCUAGGCUUUCCCGGUACCAGCAGUUCAAGGACUUCCAGAGGCGGAUCCUGGUGGCCACCAACCUGUUUGGCCGAGGGAUGGACAUUGAGCGCGUCAACAUAGUCUUCAACUACGACAUGCCUGAGGACUCCGACACCUACCUGCACAGAGUGGCCCGUGCUGGCAGGUUCGGGACGAAAGGUCUGGCUGUGACCUUUGUGUCUGACGAGACCGACGCCAAGACCCUGAACGAUGUGCAGGACCGCUUCGAGGUCAACGUGGCAGAGCUCCCAGAAGAGAUUGACAUCUCCACCUACA